GAUCCGAUAGCUUAAAAUUAAAGUAAUAGUUUGAAGCACUAUAGAUAUCUAUUGAUUCGGAUCA
rnacentral:tRNA from 1 species